CCUAACACAUGCAAGUCGAACGAAGGCAUCGGCCUUAGUGGCGCACGGGUGAGUAACACGUGGGAACCUGCCUUUCGGUUCGGAAUAACGUCUGGAAACGGACGCUAACACCGGAUACGUCCUUCGGGAGAAAGUUUACGCCGAGAGAGGGGCCCGCGUCGGAUUAGGUAGUUGGUGAGGUAAUGGCUCACCAAGCCUUCGAUCCGUAGCUGGUCUGAGAGGAUGAUCAGCCACACUGGGACUGNGANACGGCCCAGACUCCUACGGGAGGCAGCAGUGGGGAAUANNNGACAAUGGGCGCAAGCCUGAUCCAGCAAUGCCGCGUGAGUGAUGAAGGCCUUAGGGUUGUAAAGCUCUUUCGCACGCGACGAUGAUGACGGUAGCGUGAGAAGAAGCCCCGGCUAACUUCGUGCCAGCAGCCGCGGUAAUACGAAGGGGGCUAGCGUUGUUCGGAAUUACUGGGCGUAAAGGGCGCGUAGGCGGCCUGUUUAGUCAGAAGUGAAAGCCCCGGGCUCAACCUGGGAAUAGCUUUUGAUACUGGCAGGCUUGAGUUCCGGAGAGGAUGGUGGAAUUCCCAGUGUAGAGGUGAAAUUCGUAGAUAUUGGGAAGAACACCGGUGGCGNAAGGCGGCCAUUCUGGACGGACAC
rnacentral:rRNA from 1 species